rnacentral:rRNA from 1 species
GCCUAAAGAGAAGCUUGCGGCUGAUUAGCUUGUUGGUAAGGUAAUGGCUUACCAAGGCGACGAUCAGUAUCUGGUUUGAGAGGACGAUCAGACACACUGGAACUGAGACACGGUCCAGACUCCUACGGGAGGCAGCAGUGGGGAAUUUUCCGCAAUGGGCGAAAGCCUGACGGAGCAAUACCGCGUGAGGGAUGAACGCCUAUGGGUUGUAAACCUCUUUUUUCAGGGAGGAAAAAAAUGACGUUACCUGAAGAAUAAGCAUCGGCUAACUCCGUGCCAGCAGCCGCGGUAAGACGGAGGAUGCAAGUGUUAUCCGGAAUCACUGGGCGUAAAGCGUCUGUAGGUGGUUUGAUAAGUCAACUGUUAAAUCUUGAGGCUCAACCUCAAAACCGCAGUCGAAACUAUUAGACUAGAGUAUAGUAGGGGUAAAGGGAAUUUCCAGUGGAGCGGUGAAAUGCGUAGAGAUUG